CAAAAUCAAUUACAAUUGAGAAUGAAAGGUGUAACUACCUAUUUCUGUAGAUGAUGAGGAUAACGCGGCCAUGUGGUUAGAGGUGAGGUUCCAUGGAAGUUAUGGUUGUGAAGUGGAGGGUGAAGAAUUGAAGGUUGUUUCGUGCAAUCGAUGAAGAACCUGGAGGUUGGAGCUUGACAGUUCAGUUUGAAGAUGAAGGAGGAGAUUGAAGAUUAUUUAGGUGUGAGGUUGAAGAUGGAUAUUGAAAUUGGUUGUGAAUGGAGAAAAUGGAAGAAAGGUGUUGAAGAAGAUUGAAGAAAGUGAGGAAGAACGAAGAUGAUGAAAUCCAAAAUGAUGGGGCAAGGUUGCUGGGAUUGAAUGGCUUGGAUUCGCCGAGUCGGACUUCGCUUCAUUUAAGCUGUUAUGCAGGGCUGUCCUCAGUGGUUUGGAAUUCUUGGUCCAGUUCACGGAAUUUUUGAGGUGGUUGAGGUUAGAUCGGGUAUGACAGUUGGGAUGUUAGUUUCGUAAUGAUAGUUAGAAUUCUGUUGGAGGUUUUGGGUGAAGUCAGGUUGGUCAUGAACUCAUUCCCUGGUUCUGUUAUCAGGUCGCAGGUUAUUAGUAGUUGGAGGUUUAGUUUUGUAGUGGAGUUUUGAAGUGUUGAUGAGAGGGUUUCUUUGAAGGGUUCAAGAACUUGGUUAGGGUGGUUAUGACAGUUGAAAAAUUUAGUUUUGAAUUAUCAUUUUCUUUCA